rnacentral:rRNA from 1 species
ACACGACUACAUUAGAUACCCCCGUAGUCCUAGCCGUAAACGAUACUCGCUAGGUGUCGGCCACGGUGCGACCGUUGUCGGUGCCGGAGAGAAGUUGUUAAGUCUGCUACUUGGGGAGUACGUCCGCAAGGAUGAAACUUAAAGGAAUUGGCGGGGGAGGCACCGCAACGGGAGGAGCGUGCGGUUUAAUUGGAUUCAACACCGUAAAACUCACCAGGGAAGACUGUUACAUGAAGGCCGAGAUGAAGACUCUGCUAGAUUUUCAG